CCUACGGGAGGCAGCAGUGGGGAAUUUUGCGCAAUGGGCUAACGCCUGACGCAGCAACGCCGCGUGGAGGAUGAAGGUCUUUGGAUUGUAAACUCCUGUCAGCAGGGAAAAAGCGACUCGUGCUCAUACCACGGGGAGUUGAUUGUACCUGCAGAGGAAGCCCCGGCUAACUCUGUGCCAGCAGCCGCGGUAAUACAGAGGGGGCAAGCGUUAUUCGGAAUUAUUGGGCGUAAAGGGCGCGUAGGCGGCCUUGCAAGUGGAUGGUGAAAUCCCUCGGCUUAACCGAGGAACUGCCAUCCAGACUGCUUGGCUUGAGACCGGGAGAGGUGAGUGGAAUUCCCAGUGUAGCGGUGAAAUGCGUAGAUAUUGGGAGGAACACCAGUGGCGAAGGCGGCUCACUGGACCGGUACUGACGCUGAUGCGCGAAAGCGUGGGGAGCA
rnacentral:rRNA from 1 species